AAUGCCUACGGGACGCAGCAGUGGGGAAUAUUGGGCAAUGGGCGCAAGCCUGACCCAGCAACGCCGCGUGAAGGAAGAAGGCUUUCGGGUUGUAAACUUCUUUUAAGAGGGAAGAGCAGAAGACGGUACCUCUUGAAUAAGCCACGGCUAACUACGUGCCAGCAGCCGCGGUAAUACGUAGGUGGCAAGCGUUGUCCGGAUUUACUGGGUGUAAAGGGCGUGUAGCCGGGCUGACAAGUCAGAUGUGAAAUCCACGGGCUCAACCUGUGGCCUGCAUUUGAAACUGUUUUUCUUGAGUACUGGAG
rnacentral:rRNA from 1 species